GCGCUUCCCUCGGGACUUUGGUUCCGCUAGGCUUUGAGCGCCUGCCGUCGGCAGGAAUCGAGAACGCCUAGCGUUUCCCUCACGAGAAGCCUGUUAGAGGCUUUCUUGGUCCCGGAAGCCCCUGAGCGUAGCUGCCGCGAUAGAGAAGACGCUGGCGAGCUCUCAAGGCAGCCUCCUGGUGAAAAGAGCCCCAGACACACCACUUCUCUCCCCUUUAGCCUGUGCCCUCCCGGACUGCGCUUCCCCCAAAUCGUACAGCAUCAACGAGGCCUGCCCAGCCAGAAUGCAAUCACCUCUAGGAGGGCAGUGGCUCACUGUUGGAUCUCCAGUACCCAGAACCUGGCGCACCACAGGUCUGAUGGCUUUGGGAGUCACACGUCUUCUCCGGCCCACUGGAGACAAGUCACAGCAGGACCGGAAGAUCCCACAGCCGCUUGCA